ACCAAUUCUGGGGGAUAAUUUGUUCCUCUUGGUGUAAUGGCUUGGGCGCGAUAUUCAGAUUUGUGGCCAUCCUGAUUGAUGGCUCCUUCAAUGCCAUUAGAUCCCGGAAACACCACAUAAAUUU